rnacentral:lncRNA from 1 species
AAAAAUACUGUGCAGGAAGAAUCUUCGCACUCGUCCGAAACAGUACGUGCGUGCAAUAUAGCCAAAUUACACGCACGCGAGCGAUAACGGGUUAUGCUCACCCUCAGCCAGAUCUGACCGGUCAGCUCGGCCGCGGUGACGCGCUGGGCCUUGGCUGCUGCGCGCUGAAGCUGAGCCACAGGGGAACUAGAGGAGGCCGCGACUAGGGAUGAGUCGGCUCGGUAAGGUGGCCACGGGCCUACAG